UUAAAAAUUAGUCAUUAUCUUAUAAUAUACUUUUUAAAAGGGUUUUGUUUCAAUAAGUAUGUUGCAAAUAUAUUUGAUUUUUUUCGUACUGAGUAAUAUCACUUGUCAAUCAUCAAGACUAAAUGAUUAUGUAAACGAAGUAAAUAACAUGCUUACAAAUCCUUAUUGGAAAGAUGGUAUUGAAGAAUUCAAAAAGAUUUUUACUAUAUAUCCACAGUUCAUUAUUUUAAGCAAAAUAACUGAAGACAAGAUUGUUAUUAAUGGUCGAUUAUGGUUUUCAAACAUAAAUAAUCAAUAUGUUGAUGAAAAUAAUUUCCAUGAAAAGGUAAUACAGUAUCAUUUUUUAUUAAGCUGUUACUAUGGACUGGAAUUAAAGUUCUAUUUAUUCUAUGUAAAAGAAUUAUGUAUAUUAUGCAAAAAGAUGAUUCCUGAAUUGUGUCAAACACCUUUAAAUUACCAAGUUAAUAUUUUUAUUGCCGAACUUACUAAAAUGAAAAAUUCUUUACUUCAUUUUAGUCGAUGGUUGGGUGAUCUUGAUUUAAUAAAGAACAAUAUUUACGAGGUAAUCGAUCGUGUCAUUGUAAUAUCACGACAUAUAACAUCAGAAUCACCUAAUAAUACCAUAAAAAAUCUACAUGAUGAAUAUCAUAAAGUAAGAACAUUUUUGGAUGAAAGAGUCCAUCCGUUCAUUAAUGAAGAAGAAAUGAAUACAAGGCUAACUGUAAAUUAUCAGAAUUUAGACAAAAAUAUAUCAUUUCAAAAUAAAGUCGAUUCAACAAAUUAGGUUUUGUUUAUAAUGAUAAUUUAGAUUGUUUAGAAGUGAUAGCUCAUACUGAAAGUUAAAGUACUUCAUUUCCACAAGUUGAAGAAGACAAUUAAUUUAGAAUUAUGUAAAUUAAAUAACAAGAAGAUACUAAUGAUUUCAAGAUACCUUUAAAUCAAAAAAAUUAAAAUUAAAUUGUAGAAAUUAUUAAAAUAAAAAAUUUUUUAUUUCAUUUUUCUCAA